rnacentral:rRNA from 1 species
UACGUAGGUGGCAAGCGUUGUCCGGAAUUAUUGGGCGUAAAGCGCGCGCAGGCGGCCUCUUAAGUCUGAUGUGAAAGCCCACGGCUCAACCGUGGAGGGUCAUUGGAAACUGGGGGGCUUGAGUGCAGAAGAGGAGAGCGGAAUUCCACGUGUAGCGGUGAAAUGCGUAGAGAUGUGGAGGAACACCAGUGGCGAAGGCGGCUCUCUGGUCUGUAACUGACGCUGAGGCGCGAAAGCGUGGGAGCGAACAGG